CCAGCUCCAAUAGCGUAUAUUUAAGUUGUUGCAGUUAAAAAGCUCGUAGUUGGAUCUUGGGCCGGGGGGAGCGGUCCGCCCCUCGUGGGUGUGCACUGGUCCACCCGGCCUUUGCUGCCGGGGACGCGCCUUUCCUGGCCUUCGCUGGUCGGGACGCGGAGUCGGCGAUGUUACUUUGAAAAAAUUAGAGUGCUCAAAGCAAGCCUAUGCUCUGAAUACAUUAGCAUGGAAUAACGCGAUAGGACUCUGGUCCUGUUCGUGUUGGUCUUCGGGACCGGAGUAAUGAUUAAUAGGGACAGUUGGGGGCAUUCGUAUUUCAUUGUCAGAGGUGAAAUUCUUGGAUUUAUGAAAGACGAACUUCUGCGAAAGCAUUUGCCAAGGAUGUUUUCA
rnacentral:rRNA from 1 species